rnacentral:rRNA from 1 species
CCUACGGGAGGCAGCAGUAGGGAAUCUUCCACAAUGGGCGAAAGCCUGAUGGAGCAACGCCGCGUGGGUGAAGAAGGUCUUCGGAUCGUAAAACCCUGUUGUUAGAGAAGAACGUGCGUGAGAGUAACUGUUCACGUUUCGACGGUAUCUAACCAGAAAGCCACGGCUAACUACGUGCCAGCAGCCGCGGUAAUACGUAGGUGGCAAGCGUUAUCCGGAUUUAUUGGGCGUAAAGGGAACGCAGGCGGUCUUUUAAGUCUGAUGUGAAAGCCUUCGGCUUAACCGGAGUAGUGCAUUGGAAACUGGGAGACUGGAGUGCAUAAGAGGAGAGUGGAACUCCAGGUGUAGCGGUGAAAUGCGUAGAUAUAUGGAAGAACACCAGUGGCGAAAGCGGCUCUCUGGUCUGUAACUGACGCUGAGGUUCGAAAGCGUGGGUAGCAAACAGGAUUAGAUACCCGUGUAGUC